UUACGGCCACAUCACGUUGAAACACCGAUUCUCGUACGAUUACUGAUGUUAAGCAAAGUCGAGCCUGCUCAACACCUAGAUGGGUGACCGCUUGGAAAUACCAGGUACUGAA